rnacentral:rRNA from 1 species
AUUGAACGCUGGCGGCAUGCCUUACACAUGCAAGUCGAACGGCAGCACGGGUGCUUGCACCUGGUGGCGAGUGGCGAACGGGUGAGUAAUACAUCGGAACAUGUCCUGUAGUGGGGGAUAGCCCGGCGAAAGCCGGAUUAAUACCGCAUACGAUCUACGGAUGAAAGCGGGGGACCUUCGGGCCUCGCGCUAUAGGGUUGGCCGAUGGCUGAUUAGCUAGUUGGUGGGGUAAAGGCCUACCAAGGCGACGAUCAGUAGCUGGUCUGAGAGGACGACCAGCCACACUGGGACUGAGACACGGCCCAGACUCCGACGGGAGGCAGCAGUGGGGAAUUGUGGACAAUGGGCGAAAGCCUGAUCCAGCAAUGCCGCGUGUGUGAAGAAGGCCUGCGGGUUGUAAAGCACUUUUGUCCGGAAAGAAAUCCUUGGCCCUAAUACGGUCGGGGGAUGACGGUACCGGAAGAAUAAGCACCGGCUAACUACGU